UACGAAGGGAGCGAGCGUUGUUCGGAAUCACUGGGCGUAAAGCGCACGUAGGCGGCUUUCUAAGUCAGGGGUGAAAUCCUGGAGCUCAACUCCAGAACUGCCUUUGAUACUGGAGAGCUCGAGUCCGGAAGAGGUGAGUGGAACUCCGAGUGUAGAGGUGAAAUUCGUAGAUAUUCGGAAGAACACCAGUGGCGAAGGCGGCUCACUGGUCCGGUACUGACGCUGAUGUGCGAAAGCGUGGGGAGCAAACAGG
rnacentral:rRNA from 1 species